CCCCCCCCUCCAUCCUUGCUUGCGAGGAUGCGGACGGGACGGAAGCUGGUCUCCCGUGUGUUACCGCACGCGGUUGGCCAAAAUCCGAGCUAAGGACGCGUGGAGCGUCCCGACCUGCGGUGGUGAAAACUUGCCUCUUUGUACGGUCGGACGCUCCUGUCCGGAAACUCCAGAUGACCCGAAGUCCUCAACGCGACCCCAGGUCAGGCGGGAUCACCCGCUGAGUUUAAGCAUAUCAAUAAGCGGAGGAGAAGAAACUAACAAGGAUUCCCUUAGUAACGGCGAGCGAACCGGGAAGAGCCCAGCU
rnacentral:rRNA from 1 species